ACAUGCCUACAACAUAGCGUUAAUGCACUCGAUCCCAUUAGAACUCCAUAUUUAAGCAUGCUCAGGCUAGAGUAGUACUGGGAUGGGUGAUCGCCUGAGAAUUCCUAGCAUUUUACAUGCC
rfam:Picea glauca, whole genome shotgun sequence.